rnacentral:rRNA from 1 species
UACGAAGGGGGCUAGCGUUGUUCGGAAUUACUGGGCGUAAAGGGCGCGUAGGCUGUGCUGUAAGUCAGGCGUGAAAGCCCCGGGCUCAACCUGGGAAUUGCGCUUGAUACUGCGGCGCUGGAAGGUGGGAGAGGAUGGCGGAAUUCCCAGUGUAGAGGUGAAAUUCGUAGAUAUUGGGAAGAACACCGGUGGCGAAGGCGGCCAUCUGGCCCAUUUUGACGCUGAGGCGCGAAAGCGUUGGGGAGCAAACAGGAUUGAGA